UACGUAGGGUGCAAGCGUUAUCCGGAAUUAUUGGGCGUAAAGAGCUCGUAGGUGGUUUGUCGCGUUGUUCGUGAAAUCUCACGGCUUAACUGUGAGCGUGCGGGCGAUACGGGCAGACUGGAGUACUGCAGGGGAGACUGGAAUUCCUGGUGUAGCGGUGGAAUGCGCAGAUAUCAGGAGGAACACCGGUGGCGAAGGCGGGUCUCUGGGCAGUAACUGACGCUGAGGAGCGAAAGCGUGGGGAGCGAACAGG
rnacentral:rRNA from 1 species